UUGCGCAUGCGCCGGGCUGCUGGGGGGGUGGGGCCGGCUACGGAAUGCGCGUACGGAGGCCCGCGAGGUUCCGGGGCUCGGCGCUGCUCGGAGCUCCGGCUGUCCGAGCGCGUUAUAAAUCAAGAAGAGUUGAGAAUCUGAUGGCAUGGCUUUAAUUACCUUGCGGAGGAACCUUUGCCAUUUGUCUGAUUUUCGGAUCCACGGAGCUCUGGCUGCUUUGAAAAAUCAUCCUGUAAUUCAUGUUCACAAGGUUUCCGAGGAGCGUCUGUGUCCGUGGUUCUGUUCACCACAGUCUGAGCCUUUCAGGGUCAGAUUCCAUCAUGGCUGUUGUAAAAAGUUCCAUUCAGAAAAUGGAAAUGACCUUCAUCCCGUUGGUGAGCCGGUGUUCUCUCAAGCACAUGAUUGGGAUAGGCCUGAACAAAAUCUUAAAAGUGUGGAUGAACAGAUGUUUUACAGGAGACUGAACAGCUUCACCUCAUCAGAAGAAGUGUUAAGUUUUAUAAGCACACUGCAAACUUUGCCUGCUACUCUAGCAGCAGGAGCCUUACAGCGGAUUUGUGAAGUGGAAAAAAAAGAUGGUAGUCAAAAGUUGCCAAAAGAAAUACUAAAGAAUAGUGUCUUUCAAGCCUUAUGCAUUCAGUGUGAACAGGAAUCCUCAGGUCUGCCAGACGCCGUUUUGGUGACUGCUUUGCAAGCCCUGACUCUGUUGCAGGUGGAUCCCCACAGUAGCUUGUUACUGAACCUGGUGACAGAAUGCCAUUGUCGUCUCAAACGGGGUGGCCUGGAAGUUCACAGUCUUUGUAUUCUUGGGGAAAGUCUGAUUAAACUGCAAGGUCCAGGCUGUGCUACGCUAGAACUGAUUAUAUGUCAACUGAAAAGUGAAAAAUUGGAAGAAUUUACUCCUGAGGAUAUUGUGGCCCUUUAUAGGAUACUGCAGGCUUGUACUGAAAAAGUGGACCAACACCAAGCAUUUCUGAAUAAGUUAAACAACUUCUCUCUGUCGGUAGUUUACCACUUGAGUCCUACAUUGAUGAGCCAAGUGCUCAGUGCCCUCGCGGUUCUUGAUCAAACUCAGGCACUUCCUCUGGUUAUAAAAUUGGGAAAAUACGCUGUGAGGCAUAUCCCUCAUUUUACUAACGAAGAGCUCAGAAAAGUCUUAGAGGCUUUCAUAUGCUUUGGGCACAAUGACAGAUUUUUUACAAAAGCCCUAGAGCGACACGUAGCUUCAGCGUGUCUCACUUUGGAUCCUGAGGUCGUCAGCAAGGUCAUGGAGUACUGCAGUAGGAAACGGAUACUUUCAAAACCCAUCCUCGAUGCAGUGGCAGAAACCUUUGUUUGCCAAUCAGAAAAAUUUUUGCCUCAUCAGAUUUCUGAGUUAAUCGAACCAUUUGGAAAACUCAGUUAUUUGCCCCCGAAUGCCUCUGCUUUAUUUAGAAAGCUAGAAAACACGUUGCUCACUCAUUUCAAUUAUUUUCCACCCAAAACACUACUGAAAAUUCUCCAUUCUUGUUCACUAAUUGAAUGCCAUCCGGUCAACUUCAUGGCAAAAAUAUUCAGCCCCUAUUUUCUUCAAAAGCUGCAAGGUGAAGAAUUGUAUUUGGACAGACUGAGCCUUGCGCAGCUGACCCAACUGUUCUUAACCUCAGUCCUAGAAUGCCCUUUCUAUAAGGGUCAGAAACUUCUUCCUAAAUAUCAAGUGAGGUCAUUUCUUACUCCGUGCUCUUCUCUGGAGACGCCUGUGGAUUUUCAGCUUUACAAAUCUGUGAAGAUUGGACUGAUUGACCUUUUGGGAGCAAGAUUGUAUUUUGCUUCAAAAGUGUUAACGCCCUAUUGUUACACAAUAGCCUUCAGCACAGCUGGGUGCAUUGCGGUGUGGACGGAUUCAAAGCAGGAGGAGGAGGACAGGCGCGUAGUGUUUGUGAGAGCACCACACAGAGAAUGUUUCCUUUCUUCUCUCACCAGAUGUUGAAAUUAAAUUAGACGAAGAAGGAUUAGUACUGCCAUAUACAGUUGACGAAGAUGUGCAUAAAAGAUCCCCUAUUACGAGAUCGAGAUGAUAAAAUCAAGAGUGGAAUUGGUGGAGUAUUUACAGAGAAAACUAUUUCCUCAAAACGUGGGCGUUCGUUGGUAACAGGAAGGAAUGCUGUCUCUAGGACUCAGAAAGUGACGAACUUGGGUUUUCAUGGGACUCAGUACAAAAACAGAACGUACAUUGUGAAUUAGCCAUUCGUGGACUGUGGUGAUCUGGAAAGGGUCUAGUUUUCCUUACACCAUGUAUACACUUAACCAGUGGUAAAUUUUAAAUAAAUUUUUAUUUUUAUUUAAUACUAUUGUAGGUACUUUUAUACAUGAAGCAAUUGAUCAAGUACAAUAAAGGAUCGAAAUGAGUGUCAUUAUUUUUAAAUCUUUGUUUUAUGGUGGUUAUUUGCUAACUGAAAAUAUUUUUUUUCAAAACCUUUGUUUCCUCUUGUAACAAAUAUAAGGAAGAAAUCUUGUCUCCUAUUUCCCUCUUUCAUACUUGGUUAGAAGCAGUCCUAUGUGGUAAGGAGAAGGAUCAGUGGAAAAGAGACUAGGACUGUGGAAAGGAAUGCGUCAUUACAGAAUUAUGCAGAAAUAACUCCUUAGUUAGUAAGAGAAUGUUUUCCAUCAGAACGGGAGCUAUUUAUCCUUUCUUUAAGGUGUAAAGAUGUGAAAGUUAACUU